rnacentral:lncRNA from 1 species
GUCUGGUUGUGGUUGGUUCCUGUAGCUCAAUCUGUUUUUGUUCAAUGUAUAGUAUCCUAUUGUUUGGUUUUUCAUCUUUUUCUUUUUGGCCGUGCAUGGUGAUGCAGGUCUUUUUAUAAAUUGUAGUUUUAUGUUGCCCCUAUUGGUAUCUUCUUGAUUUUGUUUUUAACUUAAAUUAAAGUAAAGCAAAAGACCAGAGCAGAAGUUUUGAAGAAGUUUAUCUGAUUAAUGAUGUUUUUAAAAGAC